GACGAACGCUGGCGGCGUGCUUAACACAUGCAAGUCGAACGGAAAGGCCCUGCUUUUGUGGGGUGCUCGAGUGGCGAACGGGUGAGUAACACGUGAGUAACCUGCCCUUGACUUUGGGAUAACUUCAGGAAACUGGGGCUAAUACCGGAUAGGAGCUCCUGCUGCAUGGUGGGGGUUGGAAAGUUUCGGCGGUUGGGGAUGGACUCGCGGCUUAUCAGCUUGUUGGUGGGGUAGUGGCUUACCAAGGCUUUGACGGGUAGCCGGCCUGAGAGGGUGACCGGCCACAUUGGGACUGAGAUACGGCCCAGACUCCUACGGGAGGCAGCAGUGGGGAAUAUUGCACAAUGGGCGGAAGCCUGAUGCAGCAACGCCGCGUGCGGGAUGACGGCCUUCGGGUUGUAAACCGCUUUCGCCUGUGACGAAGCGUGAGUGACGGUAAUGGGUAAAGAAGCACCGGCUAACUACGUGCCAGCAGCCGCGGUGAUACGUAGGGUGCGAGCGUUGUCCGGAUUUAUUGGGCGUAAAGGGCUCGUAGGUGGUUGAUCGCGUCGGAAGUGUAAAUCUUGGGGCUUAACCCUGAGCGUGCUUUCGAUACGGGUUGACUUGAGGAAGGUAGGGGAGAAUGGAAUUCCUGGUGGAGCGGUGGAAUGCGCAGAUAUCAGGAGGAACACCAGUGGCGAAGGCGGUUCUCUGGGCCUUUCCUGACGCUGAGGAGCGAAAGCGUGGGGAGCGAACAGGCUUAGAUACCCUGGUAGUCCACGCUGUAAACGGUGGGUACUAGGUGUGGGGUCCAUUCCACGGGUUCCGUGCCGUAGCUAACGCUUUAAGUACCCCGCCUGGGGAGUACGGCCGCAAGGCUAAAACUCAAAGGAAUUGACGGGGCCCCGCACAAGCGGCGGAGCAUGCGGAUUAAUUCGAUGCAACGCGUAGAACCUUACCUGGGUUUGACAUGGAUCGGAAGCGCUCAGAGAUGGGUGUGCCUCUUUUGGGGUCGGUUCACAGGUGGUGCAUGGCUGUCGUCAGCUCGUGUCGUGAGAUGUUGGGUUAAGUCCCGCAACGAGCGCAACCCUUGUUCACUGUUGCCAGCACGUUAUGGUGGGGACUCAGUGGAGACCGCCGGGGUCAACUCGGAGGAAGGUGGGGAUGACGUCAAGUCAUCAUGCCCCUUAUGUCCAGGGCUUCACGCAUGCUACAAUGGCUGGUACAGAGAGUGGCGAGCCUGUGAGGGUGAGCGAAUCUCGGAAAGCCGGUCUCAGUUCGGAUUGGGGUCUGCAACUCGACCUCACGAAGUCGGAGUCGCUAGUAAUCGCAGAUCAGCAACGCUGCGGUGAAUACGUUCCCGGGGCU
rnacentral:rRNA from 1 species